rnacentral:lncRNA from 1 species
AUGUCUCCACCAGUUCCUGUUCCCUCAUCCCGGAGGAAACGGCGCCCUCGCCACCGCCACUCCACCUGCAGCCUGUUCCCGCUGGAGGGUCCGAGGGGCCCGUCCAGCCUCCUGUUCCCGCUGGAGGGUCCGAGGGGCCCGUCCAGCCUCCUGUUCCCGCUGGAGGGUCCGAGGGGCCCGUCCAGCCUUCGUCUGCCUCGCCUGGAGGGUCCAAGGGGCCCGUCCAGCCUUCUGUUCCCGCUGGGGGUUCUGGAGAACCGCACCAGCCUUCUGCCUCCGCUGGAGGGUCCGAGGGGCCCGUCCAGCCGCAGCCACCUGUCUCCGCUGGAGGGUCCGAGGGGCCCGUCCAGCCGCAGCCACCUGUCUCCGCUGGAAGGUCCGAGGGCCCGUCCAGCCGCAGCCACCUGUCUCCGCUGGAGGGUCCGAGGGCCCGUCCAGCCUUCUGUCUCCGCUGGAGGGUCCGAGGGGCCCGUCCAGCCUUCUGUCUCCGCUGGAGGGUCCGAGGGGCCCGUCCAGCCACCUGUCUCCGCUGGAGGGUCCGAGGGCCCGUCCAGCCACCUGUCUCCGCUGGAGGGUCCGAGGGGCCCGUCCAGCCACCUGUCUCCGCUGGAGGGUCCGAGGGCCCGUCCAGCCACCUGUCUCCGCUGGAGGGUCCGAGGGGCCCGUCCAGCCACCUGUCUCCGCUGGAGGGUCCGAGGGCCCGUCCAGCCACCUGUCUCCGCUGGAGGGUCCGAGGGGCCCGUCCAGCCACCUGUCUCCGCUGGAGGGUCCGAGGGGCCCGUCCAGCCUCCUGCCUCGUCAGCUGGAGGGCCCGAGGAGCCCGUCCAGCCUCCUGCCUCGUCAGCUGGGGAUCUUGGAGGACCCACCCAACCCAUCCUCAUCUCUACUGACGGUUCCGGGGAGACCGUUCAGCCACCACCUACGCCGUCGCCUGCAGUGCCACCGCCUGCGGCUCCCACGCCGUCGCCUGCAGUGCCACCGCCUGUUUCGUCGCCUGCAGCUUCAUCCUCGCCUGGUCCAGCCCCAGCUUCAGCGCCUGCAGUGCCUACGCCGUCGCCUGGUCCAGCCCCAGCUUCAGCGUCGCCUGCAGUGCCACCACCUGCGGCUCCCACGCCGUCGCCCGCAGCGCCACCAUCUGUUUCGUCGCCUCUGGCUUCUGCUUCGCCGUCGUCUGGUCCAGCUCUGGCUUCUGCUUCGCCGUCGCCUGGUCCAGCUCUGGCUUCUGCUUCGCCGUCGCCUGGUCCAGCUCUGGCUUCUGCUUCGCCGUCGCCUGGUCCAGCUCUGGCUUCUGCUUCGCCGUCGCCUGGUCCAGCUCUGGCUUCUGCCUCGCCGUCGCCUGAUCCGGCUUCGGCUUCAGCUCCGCCUGUCCGUCCUGUCCGUCCUGUCCGGCCUGUCCGGCCUGUCCGUCCUGCACGUCCUGUCCGGCCGCUUUCCUGGCCAAUGACUGGAUGUCCUCGCCGUCGUGGACGGCCUCCUGACCUGCUCCGUCGCCGCCGGUGCCUCCCGCCCGGCCGGCCUCCUGAACUUUUUCUGGACUCUUGGGCCAUCGUCCUCCGGGCCGGCCCCCUGAACCGCCCGGAUUUGCACUGUUAUGCCGUCAACCUCCGGGCCGGCCCCCUGAACCUUUUCGAGACUGUUGCCUGGGCCUCUGCGCCUUUCAUGGGCCCUUUUGUUUGUUUUCUUUUGGACUGUUCCUGGGCCUCAGUGCUGUUGUUUUGUUCUGUUUUGGACUUUGUUCCCUGUGUUUUGGUUUCUGGUUCCUUGUGUUUCGUUUGUUUCGUGCCCUCCGUCCUGUUUCCCCCACCGCCCACCCUGGUUGGGUUGUUUUUGUUUUUGGGGUUCUGGUUUGGGCUGUCUGGAAGCCAGCCCUUAAGGGGGGGGUACUGUUAG